CCUACGGGUGGCAGCAGUGGGGAAUAUUGCACAAUGGGAGCAAGCCUGAUGCAGCCAUGCCGCGUGUGUGAAGAAGGCCUUCGGGUUGUAAAGCACUUUCAGCGGGGAGGAAGGCGGUGAGGUUAAUAACCUCAUCGAUUGACGUUACCCGCAGAAGAAGCACCGGCUAACUCCGUGCCAGCAGCCGCGGUAAUACGGAGGGUGCAAGCGUUAAUCGGAAUUACUGGGCGUAAAGCGCACGCAGGCGGUCUGUCAAGUCGGAUGUGAAAUCCCCGGGCUCAACCUGGGAACUGCAUUCGAAACUGGCAGGCUAGAGUCUUGUAGAGGGGGGUAGAAUUCCAGGUGUAGCGGUGAAAUGCGUAGAGAUCUGGAGGAAUACCGGUGGCGAAGGCGGCCCCCUGGACAAAGACUGACGCUCAGGUGCGAAAGCGUGGGGAGCAAACAGGAUUAGAUACCCUAGUAGUC
rnacentral:rRNA from 1 species